AUAGCUCAGUUGGUUAGAGCAUCUGACUCAUAAUCAGAGGGUCCGGGGUUCGAGUCCCUGU
rnacentral:tRNA from 1 species